rnacentral:rRNA from 1 species
GUGAAAGUUUCCAAGGGCGCAUGGUGGAUGCCUUGGCAACAGGAGCCGAAGAAGGACGUGGGAAUCUGCGAUAAGCCUGGUGGAGUCGAUAACCGGACGUUGAGACCAGGAUUUCCGAAUGGGGAAACCCCGCACGACGUGUCGUGUGACCCCCGGUUGAACACAUAGACCGGGUGGAGGGAACGUGGGGAAGUGAAACAUCUCAGUACCCACAGGAAGAGAAAACAAAAGUGAUUCCGUUAGUAGUGGCGAGCGAACGCGGAUGGGGCUAAACCGUAUGUGUGUGAUACCCGGCAGGGGUUGCAUGUGCGGUGUUGUGGGCCCCUCCUUGUCAUGUCUGCCGGCAUGGCGCAGUGAGGUGCGGGCAUAUAGACGAACCAGUGUGGAUGCUGGACCGUAGAGGGUGAGAGUCCCGUAGUCGAAAUGUGUUCCGCCGCUGUUGGAGGGU